rnacentral:lncRNA from 1 species
GUUUGCCAAGUGUUCGAUGGAUUGCUCGACCUCGGAUUCAUUGUCAUCCGCGUGUAGUUGAAUCAUUUUAGUCAUGGUACGUUAAGUGAUCACGUAAUGCGAAAGACGAGUUGAGUCAACCCCUAGAUGAUGUUAAGCGUGGGCUUCUCCACAAGGUGAUGCUGAUGGAUGAACCUGAAGAUGGAUAAACUAAACAAGUGCCAAGGCAAAGGAUGGUCAUCAAGUGAUCGACGUCUAACAACCACUACACCAUGAAACAAUUUUAGCGUCAAACAUCUGACGAUAAAAAUAGAUGUUUGGCGACAGCGAGUAUGUCACAAAAUAAUACCAUCACACUAUCUGUCGGUAAUUAUUGUGUUGGCAUCAACAAAUCUGUCGGCAAUAAUGUCGAGCUAUUGUGGCGGUUUAUCCAUCGGUAUAAAUGAUUAUGUGUGGCACACUGACUGUCGGGAAAACAUAGCAUUAGAUCAUCUGUCGGUA